rnacentral:rRNA from 1 species
UGGGGGAUAUUGCACAAUGGGCGAAAGCCUGAUGCAGCGACGCCGCGUGGGGGAUGAAGGCCUUCGGGUUGUAAACUUCUUUUGCUCUGAACAAGGCAUGCUAAUGGGUGUGUUGAGUGUAGGGGUUGAUUAGCGCCGGCUAACUACGUGCCAGCAGCCGCGGUAAUACGUAGGGCGCGAGCGUUGUCCGGAAUUAUUGGGCGUAAAGGGAUUGUAGGUGGCUGGUUGCGUCUGUCGUGAAAGCUCAUGGCUUAACUGUGGGUUUGCGGUGGGUACGGGCUGGCUUGAGUGCAGUAGGGGAGGCUGGAAUUCCUGGUGUAGCGGUGGAAUGCGCAGAUAUCAGGAGGAAUACCGGUGGCGAAGGCGGGUCUCUGGGCUGUUACUGACACUGAGGAGCGAAAGCAUGGGGAGCGAACAGG